rnacentral:rRNA from 1 species
AAGACCUUGCACUUUUGGAGCGGCCGAUGUCUGAUUAGCUAGUUGGUGGGGUAAUGGCCUACCAAAGCUUCGAUCAGUAGCUGGUCUGAGAGGACGGCCAGCCACACUGGGACCGAGACACGGCCCAGACUCCUACGGGAGGCAGCAGUGGGGAAUUUUGGACAAUGGGCGCAAGCCUGAUCCAGCCAUGCCGCGUGAGUGAAGAAGGCCUUCGGGUUGUAAAGCUCUUUCAGCCGGGAAGAAAAGGUUGCGACUAAUAAUCGCAAUCCAUGACGGUACCGAAAGAAGAAGCACCGGCUAACUACGUGCCAGCAGCCGCGGUAAUACGUAGGGUGCGAGCGUUAAUCGGAAUUACUGGGCGUAAAGGGUGCGCAGGCGGUUUUGUAAGUCAGAUGUGAAAUCCCCGGGCUUAACCUGGGAACU